CGGAGGCGAUGGAUGAUCUCAUAGCGGCCGGUUUUCAGUGCCCACUCCCGAGCACAUUUUCCUUUUGUGGAGUCUACUGCAUUUCACAGGUAGACCUCCCAGUGUGCCAUACCAGUGAGCCAGUAUGCACAAACCUAGGGCCCUGAAACUGAAACACCUCAAUUGAAUACAGGUACAACUAACCUGCUUGGGAUGCAAUCAUCAGAGCAGUGUUUCCUUCAUUGUCCUGGUGAUUUAUGUCUAUAUAAGGACAGCUGUGAAGCCCAUAAACAAUGUCCACAAACCCUUUGCAGCAAGCCACCAUCAAGCCAUUCUGUUGGUGACAGUGAAAGAACUUUCCGCAGAGAGACGGGUUCAUUACGGGCGCACGCUCGGUACAGUGUUGAUGCAGCAAGCCCGUUUGUUCUUUCUGGCAUGUACUCUGGAAG